rnacentral:lncRNA from 1 species
CCCCAACUCCGCAGCGCCUUGGGUCCACCGUUAGGGCGUCACCAAGGUCUGCUCUGGUGUGAACCUGGGUGCCAGGACCUGCCUGCCAUCCGAGGGAGUCCAGGGAAUGGGCGGCCCUGGAGGUGCGCUCCCACCCUCCUCGCCAGGGCCUACCCCUGCUGGGUAGCAGGGAGCCCUGGGGCAGCGGUCCCUUUCAAGUUCUAAGUAGCCUCCCUUGGAAAGCCACGCGUGCAGCGCACGUCUGCUGGUCUGCCUUCACCGUGUCCGCCCACUCCGCUGCUCUGGGCCCCAACCAGUCUCUGUUCAAGGACUUGCAGCGGACACACUGUUCCCUUCCCCUGGGUGGGACGGCACUUGAGCUGUGCCACCAGCCAUAACCCUGCUCACACCCAGCCGCUCCCCCAGGUUAAUCUGGCCCCUGCCAACUCCCGAAUUGGGAUGAAACCUGCCCCAUUCAUCAAGGAUACAGCCUAGUGGCAAAAUCGGUGGAAUCUGCAUGGUGAUGAGAUCCAAUAGAUUUCCCAUCUGCCUGUCUUGGGAUCUAUAGAGAGAUGGAGACAGCUAGGCUUGCACUCCUUAAGGUGGCAUCCCAUGCAUAAGGAGGAGACCUGAAGCCCACAAGCUCGAUUUCUUUCAUUCUGGUGCCGAAACCCAGGAAGGUACAGCUGAGAUUAGUGACCAUCCGCCGCUGGUGGGGGUUGGUUGGUCCCUUGGCCAUCCUUCCUGAACCCUGUUGGAUGAGCACCCGACCAGGCGCCUUCACCUUUGCCACUGCUGACACCUCGCAUCCACACCAGUCCCCGAUUCCUGGGAGCUGUCACUAUACUCUGCAUGAUUCUGCUUUUUGGACCGUGCCUGUUCCGUUGUUUUCAAAAGUUCUUACAGGAACGCAUGAGAGCCUUCACAAACCAGACAGACUGUGAGCUCGUCAUGGCCAGAUACCAGCCCCUCGCCACUGAUACAAGCUCGCGAUACCGGGACCUCACUGUGGCCAUCUAAAGACCCCACCCAACAAAGCCCCUUUGCCGGCAAGAAGUAGCUACAGAAGAAGAGACCCUCGCCCCUAUUCCAUAAUAACAAGAGACUGGAAUGUGAGACAAUAUGGCCAGAGGGAGGUCUGUUACUCAAAAUGGCACCCACUUCUCCUAAAUGGGUCGUUUCCUCUCUCAGAAAAUGGAAAUGAACUCGCCAACCUGCCUCUCUACUCAUUGUCCAAUAAGUUUAAACUCUGUCACUUGCCUCAGCCAUACAACCAAUCCUCAACCCCCACAAUGCUCUCCUGUCACACAACCCUUUAUAAACCUCACCUAGUUAGACUCUCGCUCAUUCUCCAUUGUUCGAGACAGCCUGGCAGCUUCUUCCCACAAUAAAGCCCUGCCUCAGGUG